UGGUGUGACAUUUUGUUUUAUUCUGUU
rnacentral:piRNA from 1 species